GUGGUGACGGAUCCUGUGCUGCUUGUGUGCCCGCUCCUGAACACCCGCUUGCCUGCCCGCCAAGAUGUCCUGCCAGCAGAGCCAGCAGUGCGUCCCCAAGUGCCCUCCCAAGUGCUGCACCCCAAAAUGCCCCCCGAAGUGUCCCCCCAAGUGCCCUCCAGUCUCUUCCUGCUGCAGUGUCAGCUCUGGGGGCUGCUGUGGCUCUGGGGGUGGGGGCUGCUGCAGCUCUGGGGGUGGUGGCUGCUGCAGCUCUGGGGGUGGUGGCUGCUGCCUGAGCCACCACAAGCCCCGCAGAUCUCACCUCUUCAGACAUAGAAGCUCUGACUGCUGCAGCUCAGGGGGCUCCAGCUGCUGCGGAGGGGGCAGUGGUCAGUCCUCUGGAGGCUGCUGUGGAGGGGGCUCCAGCUGCUGCGGAGGGGGCAGUAGUCAGUCCUCUGGAGGCUGCUGCUGAAGUGCACUCUGAGCCAAGAAGAGCUGACUGGGAUGUAGCCACUGGCCACUCACCUCCUUCUCCUCCUGCUCCUCCUGCUGGGCCUGCCCUGCUGCUGAGAGGUCUGGGUGAGGCCUUUGAAUUCUGGUGCAGAGGAUCCCUGUGCUCGGGUGUCCUGGAGCCCAAACCUCUCCCCCAAACCCACUUCCCGACUUCUUUCCCCAUAUGCCCAUAUGUGUGGUGCCCUGAGUACCCCACAGCACAGACCUGUGCCCCUGCACAGCUCUGUGUGUGCACACACCAGCCUGAUGUGAAACAAUAAAAGGAUGAUUCUG